rnacentral:lncRNA from 1 species
ACCAGUUGCAGGUAAGAUACGGUUUAGCCAACUGACGAUGGUUUGUACUCCCUCCGUCCGAAAAUACUUGUCAUCAAAAUGGACAAAAAGGUUUGUACUAGAAGAGUGAUGAAAACCAAACCUCAACACAGCACGCUCAAAAGAUUUGGUGUAAAAAUCUAAUAAACUUCUCUCAAAUUGUGAGGAUGAUACAAUGAGGGACCUGACAACAGCAGCGUACACACAAUUCCCAUGGAUUACAGUAGCUCAGAAUUCAACUCCUGGGGAAUAUAGCAUAUGCUGGGCUUCAUCCAUGGUGAUACAGAGUAAUGGUGCUGUAUUACAGAUUUAAGACAGACUUACAGGUAAGCAACGCUGUUCGCAGCAAUACACUAAUAGCUGACAAUUCAAGAGAUGAAUUGAAUCUUGGCAGAAUGGUAAAGCGGCGAAGGCCCAGGGAUGGGGCUGACACUACACGGGCAAUGCCGCGAAACAAUGCUUCUUCUUCUAUGUGUAUGGUUCUGGCAUUGGCUGCACAGACCAGGUGAUAC